GACGAACGCUGGCGGCGUGCUUAACACAUGCAAGUCGAACGGAAAGGCCCUGCUUUUGUGGGGUGCUCGAGUGGCGAACGGGUGAGUAACACGUGAGUAACCUGCCCUUGACUUUGGGAUAACUUCAGGAAACUGGGGCUAAUACCGGAUAGGAGCUCCUGCUGCAUGGUGGGGGUUGGAAAGUUUCGGCGGUUGGGGAUGGACUCGCGGCUUAUCAGCUUGUUGGUGGGGUAGUGGCUUACCAAGGCUUUGACGGGUAGCCGGCCUGAGAGGGUGACCGGCCAAAUGGGGACGGAGAUAGGGCCCAGACCCCCAGGGGGGGCAGGGGGGGGGAAUUUUGAAAAAGGGGGGGAAGCCUGAUGCAGAAACGCCGGGUGGGGGAGGACGGCCUUGGGGUGGAAACCCGCUUUCGCCUGUGACGAAGGGUGGGUGACGGUAAUGGGGAAAGAAGCACCGGCUAACUACGG
rnacentral:rRNA from 1 species